rnacentral:pre_miRNA from 1 species
UCAUGAUGAUGAUGAUGAUGAUAAUGAUGAUGAUGAUGAUAUACAUAUUUAUAUAUCCUUACCAUCAUCAUCAUCAUCAUCAUUUAAC